UACGUAGGGGGCAAGCGUUGUCCGGAAUCAUUGGGCGUAAAGAGCGUGUAGGCGCCAGAAAAGUCCGCUGUGAAAACUCGAGGCUCAACUUCGAGCUGUCGGUGGAAACUUUCUGGCUAGAGUCCGGAAGAGGAGAAUGGAAUUCCUGGUGUAGCGGUGAAAUGCGCAGAUAUCAGGAGGAACACCGGUGGCGAAGGCGGUUCUCUGGGCAUUACCUGACUGGAGGAGCGAAAGCAUGGGGGAGCGAACAGG
rnacentral:rRNA from 1 species